GUGGUUGUGGCUCAGGGGUAGAGCGCUCGCCUAGCAUGUGUGAAGCACUGGGUUCGAUCCUCAGCACCACA
rnacentral:tRNA from 1 species